UCCUAUAAACAUGGUAUAUGGUAUACUUUGUUCAUAUUUUUUAGUUACUCAAUAGCUUAAAUAAUUAAACUUUCCUCUCUCUCCUUUUCUUCCUUCCCCCUCUCUCUACAGUCUGUUCAAUGUACUAGCUGACAGGAAGUCAAAAGGUGGUCUAACUGGUAUUGUGUUAGUUAAUGGACGGCCACAAGCAAAAUACUUCAAGUGUAUGAGUGGAUACGUUGUACAGGAUGAUGUCAUCAUGGGUACUCUCUCUGUCCAUGAGAACUUGUACUUCUCAGCUGCUCUGAGGCUACCGAACAGCAUGAAGUGGGCGAAGAAGAGACGACUAGAAAAAGUUAUCGGAGAGCUAGGACUAAGUGGAUGUGCUGAUACUAAAGUUGGUACUGAGCAGACAUUGCACGUCUACUGGAAUUUUCGUGUACUUGUAUUUACUUGUAUUUUGAAAAAAGCAGGUCGUGUAUGUACUUGUAUUUAUUGGCAAAUUUUCGUGUAUGUACAUUUACUUAUUGCUUCCCAAAUUCAUCUAUAUUUUGGUAAUUUUUCGUUUACUUUUCAUGUAUCCUGUACUUAAAUGUUGAAUCAUUGAAAGGCUAAUGUCUUCAUCACCUUUUCUAUUGCUGUUUUUAUCAUCUGCUAUUGCUAGAAGGACUAAAAAGACCAUCAAAGAUCCGUGGUUAAGGAAACUAACUGCCAUUUUGACUGCUACGUGGACACACCCUUUAAUUAUUAAUAGUUAAUAUAAAUACAUGAAAAUCGUCUCCUUAAACUCCUUCUACUUAUUUUUGGUUCAUGUAUAUACUUGUAUGUACUAGAAGACCUGUUUUUCGUCUAAA